rnacentral:rRNA from 1 species
UACAGAGGUCUCAAGCGUUGUUCGGAUUCAUUGGGCGUAAAGGGUGCGUAGGCGGCGCGGUAAGUCGGGUGUGAAAUCUCGGAGCUUAACUCCGAAACUGCAUUCGAUACUGCCGUGCUUGAGGACUGGAGAGGAGACUGGAAUUUACGGUGUAGCGGUGAAAUGCGUAGAUAUCGUAAGGAAGACCAGUGGCGAAGGCGGGUCUCUGGACCAUCACUGACGCUGAGACACGAAAGCGUGGGUAGCAAACAGG